AUGGUGCCUUCCAGGAAGUUCAGGGGGGGCAACUGGAAGACGAACGGGAGGAAGAAGUGCCUGGGAGAACUCAUCUGCACGCUGAAGGCAGCCAGCUUGCCGGCAGGCACUGAGGUGGUUUAUGCACCGCCAACUGCCUACAUCGACUUCUCCAGGCAGAAGCUGGAUCCCAAAAUUGCUGUGGCUGCACAGAACUGCUACAAAGUGACCAAUGCGGCCUUCACUAGGGAUAUCAGCUCUGGCAUGAUGAGACUUAGGAGCCACCUGGGUCGUGCUGGGGUACUCGGAAAGACUUGUCUUUGAAGAAUCGGACGAUUGCCUAAUUGAUUAGGCAGAAAAUGAGCCAUUCCCUAACACUCGAAGUGAUCGCCUGCUUGGGGGCAGGAGUGGCGGGGGAAGCUAGAAGAAAGGGAAGCUGGCAUCACUAAGAAGGUUGCUUUCAAGCAAACCAAUGUCAUCGUAGAUAAUGUGAAGGACUAGAGCAAGGUGGCCCUGGCCUAUGAACCUGUAUGGGCCAAUGGGACUGGCAAGACAGCAACCCUUCAAAAGGCCCCGGAAGUACAUGAGAAGCUCCAGGGAUGGCUGAAAUCCAGUGUUUCUGAUGGGGUGGCUCAGUGCACCCGGAUCAUUUAUGGAGAAUCUGUGACUGGAGCAACUUGCAAAGGGCUGGCAAGCCAGCCCGAUGUGGAUGGCUUCCUCGUGGGUGGUGCAUCUCUCGAACCUGAAUUUGUGGACAUCAUCAAUGCCAAACAACGA
rnacentral:lncRNA from 1 species